rnacentral:rRNA from 1 species
AUUGAACGCUGGCGGCAGGCCUAACACAUGCAAGUCGAACGGUAACAGGAAGAAGCUUGCUUCUUUGCUGACGAGUGGCGGACGGGUGAGUAAUGUCUGGGAAACUGCCUGAUGGAGGGGGAUAACUACUGGAAACGGUAGCUAAUACCGCAUAACGUCGCAAGACCAAAGAGGGGGACCUUCGGGCCUCUUGCCUUCGGCUGUGCCCAGAUGGGAUUAGCUAGUAGGUGGGGUAACGGCUCACCUAGGCGACGAUCCCUAGCUGGUCUGAGAGGAUGACCAGCCACACUGGAACUGAGACACGGUCCAGACUCCUACGGGAGGCAGCAGUGGGGAAUAUUGCACAAUGGGCGCAAGCCUGAUGCAGCCAUGCCGCGUGUAUGAAGAAGGCCUUCGGGUUGUAAAGUACUUUCAGCGGGGAGGAAGGGAGUAAAGUUAAUACCUUUACUCAUUGACGUUACCCGCAGAAGAAGCACCGGCUAACUCCGUG